ACCAGUUUCUUUUCACGAAUACCGAGAGAAACCGAGCUGCGUUCUUCGUGUUCUUCGUAAUCAAACGAAGAUUUGAAGGUGUUAUUGGAAUCCGAUGGAGGCGUAUGAAUAGUCAAAACGAAGCUAUCGACGCGUAGAAUCAAGUUUAAUCAUCCGUUUAUAUGCAGAUUCAACAGGUGAUUUUAGAUUAUUUUUCUAAAAUUCGAGUUUAUAUGAUUUAAAUGAUGAAUUUUUGCAAACGAUUCCGUUUAUGUGAUUUGAUGAUUCUAUGAUGUAGAGCAUGUUUUUCUCGUCGUUUUGGUAUAUUAUAUGUCAAAAACGGAGUUCAAUAACAUGUAGAAAAGUCAGUUUGAUUAUUGAAACUGUGUUCUUGGUGUUCUUGAGCUUGUUGCCGGAAAAGUUUGAAUUUUGGCCGGAAAAUGGGUUCCGCUAAAUCUGGGCAGUAGUGGUAUAUAUGAAUAGAAAGAGGAGAGAAAGGGGAGUAUGCUGGUGUGCUUGGUUUGAGCGGAGGUGGCUCGAAUCGCCGCCAUCGGCGGCGGGAAGUCGCCGACUUCGGCCGGAUUUUCCGGCGAAUUCGCGCGACUUCUGCCUAAUUAAAGAUGGGGGAUUGAUUUAUGGGUGUGUGUACUACUGAUCUGGAGUAGAUGGUGAGUGGAGGACGCCUGGAAACGAAUUUCCGGCGAGUUAGUGUGGUGGCCGGCGGCUUAUUGCUGUUUGGUCACCGAAGUUUUGAAGAUGAUGAAGUUUUUGUACUCAGGUUUUGAAACUUGUGAAUUACCCCCUGUAACUUUGAAAAAUUGCACUUUAAACCCUGGACAAAACUUUCAAAAGUUUACACUUUAAACCUUUGAUUUUAAUUUUCAAAAAUUGUUUUAUUUAAUUAUUUUAAUUUCAAUAAAAUGCUUUUUAAUUAUUUCUUUAUUCAAAAAUAAAUCUAAAUUAGUUUGUUAAUUAAUUUUAAUUAGUAAUUAAUUAUUUAAUUGGUCAAUUAAUUUAAAUAUUAAUUGAUUAAUUAUUUUAAUUAAUUAUUAAUUGAUUUUAAUUGAUUAAUUAAUUGGAUUUAAUUAAUCCUUUUUGAUUUAAAAAUUCCGAAAAAUAGUUUCGAGCUUUAAAAUAUUUUUCCAAAUUAUUUUCAAGGCUCGAUAAUUGUUUAUGAAUGAUUUCAAGUCCAAUUUCAAGUAUUUGGGACUUGAUUAUUUAUCCGAAAAGUGAUUCUUUUAUCCAUUUUAAUUCCGAAAAAUGUUUAAAAAUUCCAGAAAAUUCCCGAAAAAUCAUUUUUAACCCAAGAGUUGAUUUGAUAUCAAUUGGGGUGGGAAACCUUAUGUGUAAUGUGUUGUCUGCUAUCGGUGUAAGGUAUUAUAUAUUGAGAGCGGAGUCAGAAAACGGUUUUGGUCAUAACUUUUGAUCCGUAAGUCGGAAUCAAGUGAAACGAAAAAGAGAUUAAAGCUUAUAAAGUCUAUUUUAAUGUGACAUAAUAAUAUGAUGGAGUCGAGAAUGUGAAUAAUUGUUGUUAAAUGUGCAAAAUGUGAUUAUAUGUUAUUGGAUUGUUAUUAAUUGAUGAUUACGUGAUAUAUAUGUCUAUUCCUGAUUUUAUAUACGUGAUAAAUGACUUAUAUGACAUAGUGUCAUGAUUUGAUUAAUAUUGGGUAAGGACAUAUGGAUUAUAGGAAUUGGAAUUGGUUGAUUGGUUGUUGGACAAAAUAGGAUAACAUGUGGAUAGUCCUACAAAUAGACGAGACGCUGUCAAAUUAUCGAUAGGAUUUAUAUGAUAUUUAAUUGAUAAUAUGUUAUGUGGAAUAUGACUUGACUAUAUGGUAGAGUCAAAGCAUGAUUAUGUGUUAAGUGAUAUGUGAUAAGUUUAAAGGGGUAUAUAAGUGGGUAUCGAUAUACGUGGUAUGUAUAUGCGAUAUAUUGUUUAGUGACUAUAGUAUUAUCUUAUUCUCGUUAAGGAUUUGGACGAGACGUGGAUGGCCGAAGACGUUCAGAAGGACAAGUGGUGUUCCAAAGCGAAUAAAGAAUGAGUCGAGUAAGCGAAGCGAUGUGGCGAAUAGAGUAUAGCUAGAGAUGGUCUAGAGAUUAUGAGUUGCAUAGAUUGUGAAAGUGGAAAGAUGAGAAUGAGCUGUGAGACGGGAGUCAGAUUUAAGGCAAGUAUCCUGAACCCUUCUUUUGGAUAUCUUGCGAUUAUUCUGAUCUAUUCCUUUCGUAUGUGUUGCAAAUAUUCGUUCCUCUCUUUUUCAUAUUUGGCACGUGUAAAUAUUUUUAUCCGUCCUUUUCUAAUUCUCAAGAAUUCAGAUAAUUCCAGUUUUACAAAUUAAUUCGAAGUUCAGAUUGUCAUUGAAGCAUGUGUUGCUCAGUGAUGAUUAUAACCUAGAAUGACUUGGGAUCUUCUUGAUUAUUCAACCCGCCAUUGUCAUGCUGGUUUAGCAGGCUAAAUUCAGUUGCUUAGCCGAUAAUGGAGGAUACUGAAUAGUUAAGGAUUUCCUGAACUAUGAUUUGUGGAAGGAUGGACUCUGGUUUAUGAAAAGUUGAUUAUCAAAGUUUGAUUUGGAAUUAUUCUAUUGGUUGUAUUUAUGUUCUGUUGUUAUACGUUGACCUGUUAUUGAAUUAUAGAAUUGGAUUAUUGUUUUUAUAUAAACCUGUGGACCAGAUUCGUGGUCAUGUUAGGCCAAUGAGUGCCUUGGAUCCAGUGAUAGAGCAUGGCGGGGCCUGCUCGGGGUUAGUGCGGAACUGAUCAGCUGCCUAACCUUGGUUUUAAUUAAAAUGUGAUAGUCCAAUUCAAUAAUUCUUUGGAAAGAUUGAAUUUCUCAGUUUAAAUGCUGAAAGGUAUUGUAAAUCAUUCUAUACAAUACCAUGAACUCAUGAACUCAGGUUGAAUCCUCUUAUAUCUUGAACUCGUGAACUUCUGUUAUAUCAUUUCAGAACUAUCAUUGUUUAUUAUUACUUGCUGAGCAUUGUUGCUCACCCUUGCUAUUCCUUUCUAACCAUUUCAGAAAGGCUUAAAGAUGAGAUGAUUGAUUGAGAUUGUGAAUAAGGCUAAUGCUAGGCGAGGAGACAGAGUUGAGGAUCCAGUGGUCGAGGAGUGUUCAGGAAAGUUGAUGAGGUUGGUGCAAGCUAGAGUUGUGCUAUAGGGAUUCAAGUGUAAGUCAUAGCUGGAAUAGUUAACAGUGAUUCUUCUUAUCGAAGAUGAUCUGACUUGGUAAGAAAUGUUGUGUAAUAUUAG
rnacentral:lncRNA from 1 species